rnacentral:rRNA from 1 species
UACAGAGGGGGCAAGCGUUGUUCGGAAUUACUGGGCGUAAAGGGCGCGUAGGUGGUCUUAUUUGUCUAGGGUGAAAUCCCUGAGCUUAACUCAGGAAGUGCCCUAGAAACGGUAAGACUGGAGUACUGGAGAGGGUCGUGGAAUUCCCGGUGUAGCGGUGAAAUGCGUAGAGAUCGGGAGGAACACCAGAGGCGAAGGCGGCGACCUGGACAGUGACUGACACUCAACUGCGAAAGCGUGGGGAGCAAACAGG